rnacentral:hammerhead_ribozyme from 1 species
AUUGAUCUGACGAGUCCCAAACAGGACGAAACGCGCGUCCUGGAU